UGAAAAUGCCCUGCGAAUCCCGAACCGGAAAAUGUCAGCUGCGCAUCCACAGGGCGCUGCACCGGGCUCGGGACAGAGCCGAGAUUUGUUCUAAAGAGAUCGCUGUAAUUACUUUGUCUCGCAGCUCGUCAGAGGUUACGAGUCCCCCAGGAGACGAUUUAUGGAGCAUCCCCGAGAGGAAGGUUUUCCAGAGAGGUUCUUCUUUUCUGAGGGACUGAAGGAUUUGGCCUGCAAACAACACUCCCCCCACCACGUAAACUCCAAAACUUGGGUUCUGCAUGUUUAGGAUUUACAUAUUUCACUUGCAUACACAGCUUUUUUAGCUUUCAAUCAAUACGCUGGAACCACUUGACCGCCUGGCAGUGGCAUUGUAGGAGAACAGCAAUAAAGAAUUAAUUGUACAAACA